AGAGUUUGAUCCUGGCUCAGGAUGAACGCUGGCGGCGUGCCUAACACAUGCAAGUCGAACGAAGCGCGCGGACGGAAUUCCCUCGGGAAGGAAGGCCGCGCGACUGAGUGGCGGACGGGUGAGUAACGCGUGGGCAACCUGCCCUGCACAGGGGGACAACAGCCGGAAACGGCUGCUAAUACCGCAUAAGCGCACAGCUUCGCAUGAAGCGGUGUGAAAAGCUGCGGCGGUGCAGGAUGGGCCCGCGUCUGAUUAGCUGGUUGGCGGGGCAACGGCCCACCAAGGCGACGAUCAGUAGCCGGCCUGAGAGGGUGGACGGCCACAUUGGGACUGAGACACGGCCCAGACUCCUACGGGAGGCAGCAGUGGGGAAUAUUGCACAAUGGGGGAAACCCUGAUGCAGCGACGCCGCGUGAGCGAAGAAGUAUUUCGGUAUGUAAAGCUCUAUCAGCAGGGAAGAAACUGACGGUACCUGAGUAAGAAGCUCCGGCUAAAUACGUGCCAGCAGCCGCGGUAAUACGUAUGGAGCAAGCGUUAUCCGGAUUUACUGGGUGUAAAGGGAGCGUAGGCGGCCCGCCAAGUCUGAUGUGAAAUACCGGGGCUCAACCCCGGGGCUGCAUUGGAAACUGGCAGGCUGGAGUGU
rnacentral:rRNA from 1 species